AUUGAACGCUGGCGGCAUGCCUAACACAUGCAAGUCGAACGGGGGCAGCAAUGCCCUAGUGGCGGACGGGUGAGGAAUACGUAGGAACCGGCCCACGAGUGGGGGACAACCUGGGGAAACCCAGGCUAAUACCGCAUACGAUCUAUGGAUGAAAGCGGGGGACUCGUAAGAGCCUCGCGCGAUUGGAGCGGCCGAUAUCAGAUUAGGUAGUUGGUGGGGUAAAGGCUCACCAAGCCAACGAUCUGUAGCUGGUCUGAGAGGACGACCAGCCACACUGGAACUGAGACACGGUCCAGACUCCUACGGGAGGCAGCAGGUGGGAAGUUUGGACAAUGGACGCAAGUCUGAUCCAGCCAUUCCGCGUGCAGGAUGAAGGCCCUCGGGUUGUAACUGCUUUUGUACGGAACGAAAGGUUUCUAUUAAUACUAGGAGCUCAUGACGGUACCGUAAGAAUAAGCACCGGCUAACUACGUGCCAGCAGCCG
rnacentral:rRNA from 1 species